GGAGACGCUGAACUCUCUCUGCUUGAAUGCCUUUCUUGACUAUUAGGGCCGGUCACGUGGAAGACACAUGGGAGAUUCAGAGGGCAGAGGGAAGCAACAGCUCUUGGUCGCUAACUCAUGCUAUUUCUGAGCUGCUGAUUCAAUUCCUUGGGCUGACAUUAACCCUGUGGCCCUGCUGAGAAAUACUCUGCCUCCAAGAUAGACCAUUAUUUUGACACUGAGUCUGGCUGCAUCACCAAUGCAAGCUUGGAAAUUGUGAUCCACUUCCUUCAGCUUUCUGAGUAGCUGAAAAGAAAAGCCUGCUCCCCUAAACCUUUUAUUUGUAGAAGAAUUUCUUUUUAAUAAAGAUAUUUCUUUUCAUUA